rnacentral:misc_RNA from 1 species
AACAUCGCGCACCUGCGGGAACCUCCGGAGGGAUCAUUAAUGAUUGGUGGCUGUUGCUGACUAGUGUUUCUAGUAUGUGCACGCCACACCUUCAAUCCCACUUACACCUGUGCACCUUCUGUAAUAGAUCUAUGUGGAUACGGAGAUAUGAAAGUUUGCGCUCUCGUACUCUGUUGAAGCAGUCUACUACGUUUUUUUACACACACACAAUAGUCAUUGAAUGUAUUUUUUAUUCUUAUG